AACGAACGCGGGCGGCAGGCUUAACACAUGCAAGUCGAACGAUCUCUUCGGAGAUAGUGGCAGACGGGUGAGUAACACGUGGGAAUCUACCUAGUUCUUCGGGAUAACUGAGGGAAACUUCAGCUAAUACCGGAUACGCCCUUUUGGGGAAAGAUUUAUCGGAAUUAGAUGAGCCCGCGUUGGAUUAGCUAGUUGGUGAGGUAAUGGCUCACCAAGGCGACGAUCCAUAGCUGGUCUGAGAGGAUGAUCAGCCACACUGGGACUGAGACACGGCCCAG
rnacentral:rRNA from 1 species